rnacentral:rRNA from 1 species
AGCGUACACGGUGGAUGCCCUGGCAGUCAGAGGCGAUGAAGGACGUGCUAAUCUGCGAAAAGCGCCGGUAAGGUGAUAUGAACCGUUAUAACCGGCGAUGUCCGAAUGGGGAAACCCGGUGCACUUCGGUGCAUCAUCGUUAGCUGAAUACAUAGGCUAACGAGGCGAACCGGGGGAACUGAAACAUCUAAGUACCCCGAGGAAAAGAAAUCAACCGAGAUUCCCCCAGUAGCGGCGAGCGAACGGGGAACAGCCCAGAGCCUGAAUCAGCUUGUGUGUCAGUGGAACGGUCUGGAAAGGCCGGCGAUACAGGGUGACAGCCCCGUACACGAAGGCACACAGGCUGUGAGCUCGAUGAGUAGGGCGGGACACGUGAUAUCCUGUCUGAAGAUGGGGGGACCAUCCUCCAAGGCUAAAUACUCCUGACUGACCGAUAGUGAACCAGUACCGUGAGGGAAAGGCGAAAAGAACCCCGGCGAGGGGAGUGAAACAGAACCUGAAACCGUGUACGUACAAGCAGUGGGAGCCUUCGUAAGAGGGUGACUGCGUACCUUUUGUAUAAUGGGUCAGCGACUUAUAUUCUGUAGCAAGGUUAACCGUAUAGGGGAGCCGAAGGGAAACCGAGUCUUAACCGGGCGUUAAGUUGCAGGGUAUAGACCCGAAACCCGGUGAUCUAGCCAUGGGCAGGUUGAAGGUUGGGUAACACUAACUGGAGGACCGAACCGACUAAUGUUGAAAAAUUAGCGGAUGACCUGUGGCUGGGGGUGAAAGGCCAAUCAAACCGGGAGAUAGCUGGUUCUCCCCGAAAGCUAUUUAGGUAGCGCCUCGUGAACUCAUCUCCGGGGGUAGAGCACUGUUUCGGCUAGGGGGCCAUCCCGGCUUACCAACCCGAUGCAAACUGCGAAUACCGGAGAAUGUUAUCACGGGAGACACACGGCGGGUGCUAACGUCCGUCGUGAAGAGGGAAACAACCCAGACCGCCAGCUAAGGUCCCAAAGUCAUGGUUAAGUGGGAAACGAUGUGGGAAGGCCCAGACAGCCAGGAUGUUGGCUUAGAAGCAGCCAUCAUUUAAAGAAAGCGUAAUAGCUCACUGGUCGAGUCGGCCUGCGCGGAAGAUGUAACGGGGCUAAACCAUGCACCGAAGCUGCGGCAGCGACACUAUGUGUUGUUGGGUAGGGGAGCGUUCUGUAAGCCUGUGAAGGUGUGCUGUGAGGCAUGCUGGAGGUAUCAGAAGUGCGAAUGCUGACAUAAGUAACGAUAAAGCGGGUGAAAAGCCCGCUCGCCGGAAGACCAAGGGUUCCUGUCCAACGUUAAUCGGGGCAGGGUGAGUCGACCCCUAAGGCGAGGCCGAAAGGCGUAGUCGAUGGGAAACAGGUUAAUAUUCCUGUACUUGGUGUUACUGCGAAGGGGGGACGGAGAAGGCUAUGUCGGCCGGGCGACGGUUGUCCCGGUUUAAGCGUGUAGGCUGACUUUCCAGGCAAAUCCGGAAGGUUAAGGCUGAGGCGUGAUGACGAGGCACCACGGUGCUGAAGUGACAAAUGCCCUGCUUCCAGGAAAAGCCUCUAAGCAUCAGGUAACAUCAAAUCGUACCCCAAACCGACACAGGUGGUCAGGUAGAGAAUACCAAGGCGCUUGAGAGAACUCGGGUGAAGGAACUAGGCAAAAUGGUGCCGUAACUUCGGGAGAAGGCACGCUGACAUGUAGGUGAAGCCCCUGCGGGUGGAGCUGAAGUCAGUCGAAGAUACCAGCUGGCUGCAACUGUUUAUUAAAAACACAGCACUGUGCAAACACGAAAGUGGACGUAUACGGUGUGACGCCUGCCCGGUGCCGGAAGGUUAAUUGAUGGGGUUAUCGCAAGAGAAGCUCCUGAUCGAAGCCCCGGUAAACGGCGGCCGUAACUAUAACGGUCCUAAGGUAGCGAAAUUCCUUGUCGGGUAAGUUCCGACCUGCACGAAUGGCGUAAUGAUGGCCAGGCUGUCUCCACCCGAGACUCAGUGAAAUUGAACUCGCUGUGAAGAUGCAGUGUACCCGCGGCAAGACGGAAAGACCCCGUGAACCUUUACUACAGCUUGACACUGAACAUUGAGCCUUGAUGUGUAGGAUAGGUGGGAGGCUUUGAAGCGUGGACGCCAGUCUGCGUGGAGCCGACCUUGAAAUACCACCCUUUAAUGUUUGAUGUUCUAACCUGGCGCCAUAAUCUGGCGUGGGGACAGUGUCUGGUGGGUAGUUUGACUGGGGCGGUCUCCUCCCAAAGUGUAACGGAGGAGCACGAAGGUCAGCUAAUCCUGGUCGGACAUCAGGAGGUUAGUGCAAUGGCAUAAGCUGGCUUGACUGCGAGAGUGACGGCUCGAGCAGGUGCGAAAGCAGGUCAUAGUGAUCCGGUGGUUCUGUAUGGAAGGGCCAUCGCUCAACGGAUAAAAGGUACUCCGGGGAUAACAGGCUGAUACCGCCCAAGAGUUCAUAUCGACGGCGGUGUUUGGCACCUCGAUGUCGGCUCAUCACAUCCUGGGGCUGAAGUAGGUCCCAAGGGUAUGGCUGUUCGCCAUUUAAAGUGGUACGCGAGCUGGGUUUAGAACGUCGUGAGACAGUUCGGUCCCUAUCUGCCGUGGGCGCUGGAGAAUUGAGGGGGGCUGCUCCCAGUACGAGAGGACCGGAGUGGACGCAUCACUGGUGUUCGGGUUGUCAUGCCAAUGGCACUGCCCGGUAGCUAAAUGCGGAAGAGAUAAGUGCUGAAAGCAUCUAAGCACGAAACUUGCCCCGAGAUGAGUUCU